UGGGGAAUAUUGGACAAUGGGCGCAAGCCUGAUCCAGCCAUGCCGCGUGAGUGACGAAGACCCUAGGGUUGUAAAGCUCUUUCACCGGUGAAGAUAAUGACGGUAACCGGAGAAGAAGCCCCGGCUAACUUCGUGCCAGCAGCCGCGGUAAUACGAAGGGGGCUAGCGUUGUUCGGAUUUACUGGGCGUAAAGCGCACGUAGGCGGACUAUUAAGUCAGGGGUGAAAUCCCGGGGCUCAACCCCGGAACUGCCUUUGAUACUGGUAGUCUUGAGUUCGAGAGAGGUGAGUGGAAUUCCGAGUGUAGAGGUGAAAUUCGUAGAUAUUCGGAGGAACACCAGUGGCGAAGGCGGCUCACUGGCUCGAUACUGACGCUGAGGUGCGAAAGCGUGGGGAGCAAACAGG
rnacentral:rRNA from 1 species